UGUGGGAGCUGGCUUGCCAGCGAUGAGGCCUUCACAUUCAACAUCACUGUUGCCAGUUAGAUCGCCAUCGCUGGCAAGCCAGCUCCCACA
rnacentral:misc_RNA from 1 species